CCUACGGGUGGCAGCAGUGAGGAAUAUUGGUCAAUGGGCGUAAGCCUGAACCAGCCAAGUCGCGUGAGGGAUGAAGGUUCUAUGGAUUGUAAACUUCUUUUAUAAGGGAAUAAAGUGCGGCACGUGUGCCUUUUUGUAUGUACUUUAUGAAUAAGGAUCGGCUAACUCCGUGCCAGCAGCCGCGGUAAUACGGAGGAUCCGAGCGUUAUCCGGAUUUAUUGGGUUUAAAGGGUGCGUAGGCGGCCUUUUAAGUCAGCGGUGAAAGUUUGUGGCUCAACCAUAGAAUUGCCGUUGAAACUGGCAGGCUUGAGUAUGGUUGAGGCAGGCGGAAUGCGUGGUGUAGCGGUGAAAUGCUUAGAUAUCACGCAGAACCCCGAUUGCGAAGGCAGCUUACCAAGC
rnacentral:rRNA from 1 species